CAAAGAAAAAGUGUGAAUUUUCAAGGAAAUUAAGUGAAAAAGGUGGUGUGCCCUUCUACAAAGGCAAGGAAAUUACGCUUGGGGAUCACUAAGCUGAGUACACCUGAAAUCUGAACUUUUGGAACCUGCCGGGUUAGCCUGUAGAUAGCAGACAUCGUCGAGAACUAUAGUUGGCCAUACUACUUAAAAAACUAUAGGUUUACUGUCUUUACUACUUUUGUUCAUUUAUGGGCCCAUGUAGCAUUGUAAAUUAAAUUUCAUACUUUGGUUUUCCGUAUUAUAGUUUGUAUAAAUAUAUUUAACUUUUACGUUACUAAAAUCAUUUUCAGA
rnacentral:sRNA from 1 species